UACGUAGGGUGCAAGCGUUGUCCGGAAUUAUUGGGCGUAAAGAGCUCGUAGGCGGUCUGUCGCGUCUGCUGUGAAAACUCAGGGCUUAACCCUGAGCUUGCAGUGGGUACGGGCAGACUGGAGUGCGGUAGGGGAGAUUGGAAUUCCUGGUGUAGCGGUGGAAUGCGCAGAUAUCAGGAGGAACACCGAUGGCGAAGGCAGAUCUCUGGGCCGUAACUGACGCUGAGGAGCGAAAGCGUGGGGAGCGAACAGG
rnacentral:rRNA from 1 species